UUCAUAAAUGUAAUUGGUUUGCUGUGUUCAAGAUUGAAACGGGUUUAGCAAACUGUAGGGAAACUCCCACAGGUUCCUUAAGUGAGCAUUCAGGAAAUGUGGCUACUUACUUGGUGAGGUCAUUGACACAUCAGUGCUUGAUAAACAGCAGAAAGGAGGCAGAUAGUAGCAGUGGGGAUCAGCUGGCGUUGGAUGAGAAGUUUAUCUGCUUAUGAAGAAAAGCGAUCUUUUUUUAUCGACAUAUUCAGCGGAGUUCUCUGGUGCUGCGCUGCUUGUUGUUGGACUCUAAUUGAGCCUACCAAAAGAGAAGAAAAAUAAAAGCCUAAAGUUGAAAUCAGCCGAACUUCUGCCUUUACAACAGGAGUCAUGGUGGCAGCAAUCCUUAAGUUGUAUUUUAUUGGAACAGCUCUGAGUGUCCUUGCUGUCUUCUAUGAGAUGGUGGACUCCUUUGGUGGUAUGAUGUACAUCCAGGACAACCAGUACACUUUGGACCAUCAGACACAGAGACAGAUAUCCUCAGGCCACGACAGGAGACGAUCGCCUGUGACUAAAAACAUCGGCUAAUAAGGAGAACCUUGAAGUCACCAUUUACAAAAAUAUGGCACCUGUAUCGGAUGUACAGGUGCUGGCUUUUGUGGCAAUGACUCUCCGAUCGCUGUGGAUUAUAAAUAUCCUGCUUUCAUCGCUGAGUAUGGACAUCUUCACAGUCUAACUUGCUGGACAUGUACUGGAUUAGAAACUAAUCUGUUUUAGAGCAGCUGCAGACCCAAUGAGAAAUGUACAGCACUACUGAACAAUGAUUUGCACUCAAAAUGAAACUGUAUUUUUUAAUGUGAAAUUUGAGCGUUUUCUAUUUCAAAUAAAGGAAUUUCAAAAUG